AUGAACGCUAGCUACAGGCUUAACACAUGCAAGUCGAGGGGCAGCAUGGUCUUAGCUUGCUAAGGCCGAUGGCGACCGGCGCACGGGUGAGUAACACGUAUCCAACCUGCCGUCUACUCUUGGACAGCCUUCUGAAAGGAAGAUUAAUACAAGAUGGCAUCAUGAGUCCACAUGUUCACAUGAUUAAAGGUAUUCCGGUAGACGAUGGGGAUGCGUUCCAUUAGAUAGUAGGCGGGGUAACGGCCCACCUAGUCUUCGAUGGGUAGGGGUUCUGAGAGGAAGGUCCCCCACAUUGGAACUGAGACACGGUCCAAACUCCUACGGGAGGCAGCAGUGAGGAAUAUUGGUCAAUGGGCGAGAGCCUGAACCAGCCAAGUAGCGUGAAGGAUGACUGCCCUAUGGGUUGUAAACUUCUUUUAUAAAGGAAUAAAGUCGGGUAUGGAUACCCGUUUGCAUGUACUUUAUGAAUAAGGAUCGGCUAACUCCGUGCCAGCAGCCGCGGUAAUACGGAGGAUCCGAGCGUUAUCCGGAUUUAUUGGGUUUAAAGGGAGCGUAGAUGGAUGUUUAAGUCAGUUGUGAAAGUUUGCGGCUCAACCGUAAAAUUGCAGUUGAUACUGGAUAUCUUGAGUGCAGUUGAGGCAGGCGGAAUUCGUGGUGUAGCGGUGAAAUGCUUAGAUAUCACGAAGAACUCCGAUUGCGAAGGCAGCCUGCUAAGCUGCAACUGACAUUGAGGCUCGAAAGUGUGGGUAUCAAACAGGAUUAGAUACCCUGGUAGUCCACACGGUAAACGAUGAAUACUCGCUGUUUGCGAUAUACUGCAAGCGGCCAAGCGAAAGCGUUAAGUAUUCCACCUGGGGAGUACGCCGGCAACGGUGAAACUCAAAGGAAUUGACGGGGGCCCGCACAAGCGGAGGAACAUGUGGUUUAAUUCGAUGAUACGCGAGGAACCUUACCCGGGCUUAAAUUGCAGAUGAAUUACGGUGAAAGCCGUAGGCCGCAAGGCAUCUGUGAAGGUGCUGCAUGGUUGUCGUCAGCUCGUGCCGUGAGGUGUCGGCUUAAGUGCCAUAACGAGCGCAACCCUUGUUGUCAGUUACUAACAGGUUCCGCUGAGGACUCUGACAAGACUGCCAUCGUAAGAUGUGAGGAAGGUGGGGAUGACGUCAAAUCAGCACGGCCCUUACGUCCGGGGCUACACACGUGUUACAAUGGGGGGUACAGAGGGCCGCUACCACGCGAGUGGAUGCCAAUCCCCAAAACCUCUCUCAGUUCGGACUGGAGUCUGCAACCCGACUCCACGAAGCUGGAUUCGCUAGUAAUCGCGCAUCAGCCACGGCGCGGUGAAUACGUUCCCGGGCCUUGUACACACCGCCCGUCAAGCCAUGGGAGCCGGGGGUACCUGAAGUGCGUAACCGCGAGGAGCGCCCUAGGGUAAAACUGGUGACUGGGGCU
rnacentral:rRNA from 1 species